CCUACGGGAGGCAGCAGUGAGGAAUAUUGGUCAAUGGGGGAAACCCUGAUGGUGCGACGCCGCGUGGGGGAAUGAAGGUCUUCGGAUUGUAAACCCCUGUCAUGUGGGAGCAAAUUAAAAAGAUAGUACCACAAGAGGAAGAGACGGCUAAACCUGUGCCAGCAGCCGCGGUAAUACAGAGGUCUCAAGCGUUGUUCGGACUCACUGGGCGUAAAGCGUGCGGAGGCUGUUUCGUAAGUAGUGUGUGAAAGGCGCGGGCUCAACCCGCGGACGGCACAUGAUACUGCGAGACUAGAGUAAUGGAGGGGGAACCGGAAUUCGCGGUGUAGCAGUGAAAUGCGUAGAUAUCGAGAGGAACACUCGUGGCGAAGGCGGGUUCCUGGACAUUAACUGACGCUGAGGCACGAAGGCCAGGGGAGCGAAAGGGAUUAGAUACCCGAGUAGUC
rnacentral:rRNA from 1 species